rnacentral:rRNA from 1 species
UGCAAGUCGUACGCGAAAGAGGGGGAAACUCCUCGAGUAGAGUGGCGAACGGGUGAGUAACGCGUGAAGAACCUGCCUUCGACAGGGGGAUAACACUCCCAACGGGGUGCUAAUACCGCAUGAGACCACGGGAUCGCAUGGUCCUGAGGUCAAAGGUGGCCUCUAUUUAUAAGCUACCAGUCGAAGAUGGCUUCGCGUCCCAUUAGCUAGUUGGCGGGGUAAUGGCCCACCAAGGCGACGAUGGGUAGCUGGUCUGAGAGGAUGGUCAGCCACACUGGGACUGAGAUACGGCCCAGACUCCUACGGGAGGCAGCAGUCGAGAGGCUUCGGCAAUGGGGGAAACCCUGACCGAGCGACGCCGCGUGGGGGAUGAAGGCCCUUGGGUUGUAAACCCCUUUUGUUCGGGAAGAAAUGCGAUCAGGUGAACAAUCUGGUCGUUUGACGGUACCGGACGAAUAAGCUCCGGCUAACUCCGUGCCAGCAGCCGCGGUAACACGGGGGGAGCAAGCGUUGUUCGGAAUCACUGGGCGUAAAGGGCGUGUAGGCGGUCUGGUAAGUGGGAUGUGAAAUCCCUCGGCUCACCCGAGGAUCUGCAUCCCAUACUGCUAGGCUUGAGUACGGGAGAGGAUG